rnacentral:rRNA from 1 species
UACGUAGGGGGCAAGCGUUGUCCGGAUUUAUUGGGCGUAAAGAGCGUGUAGGCGGCUUUACAGGUCCGUUGUGAAAACUCGAGGCUCAACCUCGAGACGCCGGUGGAAACCGUAAAGCUAGAGUCCGGAAGAGGAGAGUGGAAUUCCUGGUGUAGCGGUGAAAUGCGCAGAUAUCAGGAGGAACACCCGUGGCGAAGGCGGGUCUCUGGGCUGAUACUGACGCUGAGGAGCGAAAGCGUGGGGAGCGAACAGG